GUGACGUCAGAGUCUCUGGUGUCCACUCCGUUCUGUGGGAAGUGCUGCCUGGCCCUGUACAAAGGAAGGUGGUCUAGAGUAGAGAUCACCAACCUCCAUGGUAGCAGAGUGCUAGAUAUCAAAUUUGAUUUGUGGACCUGGGAGUCCCAGCCUCUGUAGAGGUGAUAGAGCUGAGAGAGAUCCCUCCUCCGUUCCUGCACUAGCUCAUGGUCAUCCCACCACAGAGCUCGAAGCUGGACCAGGCCAAGCUGGUGCACAUCUACCUGUUUACCUCUCUGGGCUUCCAGGAUGUCACCAACUGUGUUAACCACUAGAUGGUCACUUCUGACCUAUGGAAGCACCCCGCCUCCCCCGGACCCCAGAAGGACGGCCUCCCUACCCCCAGUUUCCUCGACACCGUGGUCGCCAACAUGGUGGGUCAGCUUACCCUCGACAGCCCAGCCUGCAGCCCUAUCUGUCUCCACCGAGACCCCCAGCCCUCUGGAUGGUGCCGGGGACACGUCAAAAGUGCUCACCCCCAACUUUGGUCACCUGCGCUUGGGGAGAGAAGCAGCUGGCGCUGCCCCCUCUCAUGGAGAUUCCCCAGGCGGGCCAGAACAUGGACAUCUACGUGUCUGUGGCCUGUCACCCGGGACACUUUGUGCUGCAGCCGUGGCAGGACCUGUACAAGCUGAUGGUGCUGAUGGGAGCGACUGUCCUUUGCUACAACCAGAGGGAGGAGAUUCCGGGGCCCGGAGAUGUACAGAAAGGCCAGGUCUAUGCCGCCGAGGUGGACGGAUUAGGGCUUGGAGGCCUCCACAGCUUUUUGAUUUUAUACAAAUGAAAAAAGCCAGUCGCACACUUGUCUCUGGAAUGAAGUGUGUUGACGUCAUUGUGUUUUUAGUCCUAGCUGAUUUAUGGCCUUUGUUUUGUUUUCACAUGGCUGAGGCAAGAUAACUGUUAGAGAAGAAGCCCCUGGUGGCCAAUGUGGAGUGUGGUGGAGGCGGAGCUUCCCUGGGACAGGAAGGUGAUUGGUUGAUUAAUUUAUUGAAUUUAUUUGAGAAUUACAUAAAUAGCCAGCAGCGACAUACAUUUCAAAAAGGAUAACACAAAGUCGCUGGUUGCAUCUGAAAUGGCACCCUAUUCCUUACAUAGUGCACUGCUUUUGACCAGGGCCCAUUUCAGAAGAGAGACAUCUGGGUCCACAACGUCAUGGCUGACUUCCCAGAGGAGCUGAGUACCGCCCCGUAGAACCGGACUGGACAGACAGAACGCAUAAGACUGUUGUGGUACCUUUUUCUUAUGCCGCACAGGUAGAACUCUGCCAGAGUCUAUCACAUAUGCUGAAAUGAUUUACAGCACUGCCUGCAGCAUGUAACUGUUGGUAUCCCUUUCACUUAUUCCACAGGUCACAAAGAUCUGCCAGUGUCACAGGUCAUUGGGGAGCCAUUUAUGCAGAACCACAGUCUAAUCAGCUUAGCAAUGUCUGAAGCAUAGAACUGUGGGGGUUUUUUUCGUAUUUUUUUUCUUAUCAUAUAUGUGGGGGGGGGGGGAGAAUCUAUUUGCAGUUGUGCAUAUACAGAGAAGGGGAUUAAACAGCAGGACCAACCCCAUCGAUCUCCUUACUAGGUUAUGUCGUUCAAGUGUAUAGACAAAGUGUCAUUUAUCGUUCAGUUAUCUUCUAUCAAAUACUUUGCAUAGAAAGUUCUUUACUGAGUUAGUUAUUAUUCAGCACCAACUUUUGGUCUUUGCAGUUGAUCUGUUUUAAGCCAUUUGUCCUUCUAACUUGUGAUUUUGUUUGUCUUUCACUUAAAUACAUUUUAACUUUUAAAUAAUAAUUUUAAGUCGACUAUCUAAUUCGUUUUUCAAUACCUUGACUUUUGAAAUGCUUGAAAUUGAUUUGACUGACACUUAUUUUGCUUUUUGUGCGUGACAUCUCACAGUACUAACUUUUGAAGGAACUGGGUGAAUGUAGAUUUUAGCUGAAUAAAUUGUUCAUUAAAAAUCACUACUUUGUUAUUAGUAAUGAACGAUAAUACAAUGUAUAACUACUAUGCUGUUUAUACCGUGAGUGGAAUAUGAAAGGAG
rnacentral:lncRNA from 1 species